ACCAAGCUAAUAUUGCUUGAUUCACUUCUACAAGAGAAAAUGGCAUUUAUGAU
rnacentral:lncRNA from 1 species